rnacentral:rRNA from 1 species
UAGGGAAUCUUCCGCAAUGGGCGAAAGCCUGACGGAGCAACGCCGCGUGAGUGAUGAAGGUCUUCGGAUCGUAAAACUCUGUUAUUAGGGAAGAACAAAUGUGUAAGUAACUAUGCACGUCUUGACGGUACCUAAUCAGAAAGCCACGGCUAACUACGUGCCAGCAGCCGCGGUAAUACGUAGGUGGCAAGCGUUAUCCGGAAUUAUUGGGCGUAAAGCGCGCGUAGGCGGUUUUUUAAGUCUGAUGUGAAAGCCCACGGCUCAACCGUGGAGGGUCAUUGGAAACUGGAAAACUUGAGUGCAGAAGAGGAAAGUGGAAUUCCAUGUGUAGCGGUGAAAGGCGCAGAGAUAUGGAGGAACCCCAGUGGCAAAGGAGACUUUCUGGUCUGUAACUGACGCUGAUGUGCGAAAGCGUGGGGAUCAAACAGA